rnacentral:rRNA from 1 species
GACGAACGCUGGCGGCGUGCUUAACACAUGCAAGUCGAACGGAAAGGCCCUGCUUGCCGGGUGCUCGAGUGGCGAACGGGUGAGUAACACGUGGGUGAUCUGCCCCUUACUUUGGGAUAAGCCUGGGAAACUGGGUCUAAUACUGGAUAGGACCAUGCUGUAGGUGGUGUGGUGGAAAGUUUAGUUUCGGUAAGGGAUGAGCUCGCGGCCUAUCAGCUUGUUGGUGGGGUAAUGGCCUACCAAGGCGUCGACGGGUAGCCGGCCUGAGAGGGUGGACGGCCACAUUGGGACUGAGAUACGGCCCAGACUCCUACGGGAGGCAGCAGUGGGGAAUAUUGCACAAUGGGCGCAAGCCUGAUGCAGCGACGCCGCGUGGGGGAUGACGGCCUUCGGGUUGUAAACUCCUUUCAGCCAUGACGAAGCCCUUGUGGUGACGGUAGUGGUAGAAGAAGCACCGGCUAACUACGUG